GAUGAACGCUGGCGGCGUGCCUAGUACAUGCAAGUCGAACGCACAGCGAAAGGUGCUUGCACCUUUCAAGUGAGUGGCGAACGGGUGAGUAACACGUGGACAACCUGCCUCAAGGCUGGGGAUAACAUUUGGAAACAGAUGCUAAUACCGAAUAAAACUCAGUGUCGCAUUACACAAGGUUAAAAGGCGCUUUGGCGUCACCUAGAGAUGGAUCCGCGGUG
rnacentral:rRNA from 1 species